UAGAUUAAUGCGCAUGCAUGUCCACACUGGUGCAGGGCACCUGCUUUUCUGGGACAAUUGCCAUCUGGAAUCAGACGCCUUCCUCAUUGUGUGCCUAUUUCUGGACAAAGAAGAGGAGAAUUGGACGAGAAGCAGGCCUCCUCUCCCACAUCCUCCAGCCACCUGGCAGGCCCGACUAAGACACCCGCUCCAGCUCAGGUGGUUUAUGUGGCUCCAGUGAGUGGGGCAAGUGGGGCGUUUCAUCCCAACCUUCUGCAUAACAGCAUUAGCAGAUCAGACACUCAGGUCUGGGACAACAUGUCCUGAAGGGCAUCUCUGGGUUCCCCCUCCAGGGCCUUGGGUGCUGCCCUGCCUCCUCUGCUGAAGGCUGCCUACCCCCCACCGCCAGAGCAGCAGAGUUCCCUUCAGUAGCUUUCAGGGACUGGAAGGAUAGUGGGCUGCCUCUCCCCACAGAUGAAGUCCUCCUGGAUUUAGGGUGGGUCCUAAAUCCAGUGACUGGUGUCCUUAUAAGAAGACCACAUGAAGCCGCAGGGAGGCACGGAGAGGAUACCAUGUGACCACGGAGACAGAGACUGGAGUGCAGCAUCUAGGAACCAAAGACAGCCAAGGAAUCCUGGCACUGCCAGAAGCCAGGAGAGAGCCGGAACAUUCUCCCAGAGCUUUUGGAAGGAACCUAGCCUGCCCACACCUUGAUUUUGGACUUCUGGCCUUCAGAACUCCAGGAGAAGAGCUUCUGUUGUUUGAAGACACCCAGUUUGCGGUCAUUUGUUAAAGCAGCCCCCGGACACUAAGCCACAGUGUAGCCAUAUGCUUGGGCUGGGUCCCAGGGCAGCACUGACUCCUCACUUUACCUUGUGUCACAGCAAAGCCCACAGCCAGGGAGAGGGGGUCAAACUGCAGCAGCUCUCACUUCUGAGCAUCAUAACGAAAGCCAAAGACAGCGCCAUUUACCUAAAUCGGACAGCCUACAGAAUCUUCCAGUCUGAAAUAAGAAAUGUCAAGCGUUUUAGCCAUGGGAAUUAUAGGGUAGGGGAGAUCCUUCCCCUUAACUAGUCAGUGGUUGAAAUUUCUUUUGCAGCAGAAAAUUUAAGUGGUAGCUUGACUGUUUAAUGUUUGCAACAUUAGAAUGCCCUAGUCUCCACUUACUGAUUUAAAGAGCAACAGAAAUCCUUACAGGAAGAGCAGUAGGAUGGCUGAUUCCUGAAAGCGGCUUCCUGACACCCUCGCCCCAGCACCCCUGGGUCCAGUCACCAUUCAGAUACAUCUUUUGAUGGGUUGCAAGGAAAAGAACAGUGUCAGGGGACAAGGCCUGUUUACCUACAACUAACUGAAGCCCUUUGAUGAGCUCUCCUCCCAUCUCCAAUCUGCCCCCAACCGCUGGCCGUUCCUAACCCAUCUCUUUGCAAAUAAAAGUUAUCACCAUCAG
rnacentral:lncRNA from 10 species